rnacentral:rRNA from 1 species
UACCCAGACUCCUACGGGAGGCAGCAGUGGGGAAUAUUGCACAAUGGGGGAAGCCCUGAUGCAGCAACGCCGCGUGAGUGAAGAAGUAUUUCGGUAUGUAAAGCUCUAUCAGCAGGGAAGAAGAAGGACGGUACCUGACUAAGAAGCCCCGGCUAACUACGUGCCAGCAGCCGCGGUAAUACGUAGGGGGCGAGCGUUAUCCGGAUUUACUGGGUGUAAAGGGAGCGUAGACGGUUUUUCAAGUCUGAAGUGGAAGCCCGCGGCUCAACUGCGGAACGGCUUUGGAAACUGAGGGACUAGAGUGCUGGAGGGGCAGGCGGAAUUCCUGGUGUAGCGGUGAAAUGCGUAGAUAUCAGGAGGAACACCGGUGGCGAAGGCAGCCUCCUGGGACGCAACUGACGCUCAUACACGAAAGCGUGGGGAGCAAACAGGAUUAGAUACCCUCGUA